CUGGUGGAACUGCACAUCUGUUGAGCCCACUAAGAGUUACUUUUCAGUGCAAUGCAGAUAAAAACGUUGUUAGAGGAGCGCUGUUGUGAUGACUUUCUGAAGGAUCCCUCCUGGAGAGCGUGACUGGCCCUCACACCAGUCUACAAUUCCCCUCAUCAAACGACUGCAGAUUUAAAAAGGAACAGGAUGUCUACACUUUACAUGAUGAUCAACCUUGCUGGUUAAAGUUGCCACAACUCUGGAUUUUUCCAACAAUAUUUCCUUGUCAGAUUUCCUUUCCUUCAUUUGCAUUAUGGUUGCCCACUGCAGUUUCAUCAUCACCAGUCGUCAUCUGAAUUCCCAUUCUCCAACCCUCUGAGUAUUUGCCUUUUGGUCCCCAAAACUCACUGUUCAGUCUCACAAAUCCUCAUUGAGACAACUUUAUUCUCAAACAUCAGGAUUAGCAUUCCUCCUUCAACUGUGUCGUUUCGAGCCAGUAGGCUGUUCUCAUUUCAAUCCCUACUAUUUAUGUAUUCUUCAUCAUUGUUAUUCUUCACCCAAUCAAACAGCUCCUGGUCUAAACUUUCUCAUUCUUUAGAUUCUCAGGUUUAAGGGUUGACCUGAAAAAUGGCCUCUGGCUCUACUGCCUCAACAGUUGCAGUAUUAUGGAACCUUAAAAUAUACUGUUUUAUUUGAGGCUGAUAUGGCACUUUCUAUGCUUUUAAGUCUUGAGAGAACAUUAAUUGAACUAAACUGUUAACAUGUCCAACAGUACAGAAAUGUGGAGAGGGAAUUUACCAUAAAAGGACACACACCACUUUCCAAGUGGCAAAUUGCAUCUGGAACUCUCUUAGCUGCUAAUCCUUCGCAGAAGCUGUUGUUUGUUUUCUUGUAAUCAGGUGUGGUCCAACCCUCUACCUAAGCUAAGAAUUUUCCUCCAUUGGCUAAUUGUUUACAAAUGAAAGUCAUCCAUAUCCGUCUCUAUUCUCUCUGCUGGUAACCAAUGCAAACUGGGAUGACUGAUUUAAGCCCAUAGAAGCUCAGACUGCUAGUUUUGGGUUGAUGUCCCUCUGAUCGGUAAACCUCUACACGAGUUGUGAGGGUUUUUUUCAGCCUUCUAGUCAGUUUUAUUCCAAGAUUGUCCUACUGCAUUUUGCUCCAUCCAUCUUCCCAUCAACUCAGGCCAAUUUCCCUGCCAUUGCCGAAGAAAAGCACCCUGGAAUUAUGAUGUUGCCACGAUCCAUCUAAUACUAUGGAUGGUCUGCUCAACUAAACAUGAGUUCUACAGGAGCCUGUCAAUGAUCCAGUCAUUCCAGCCAGAUGCAUUUGAACAAAGAAUCACCUAAAACUCAAAACAUUUGCUCACUUAAUUCAUAUUUUCUACCUCUGCUGUAAUGUGUUGCACAAUAUGCUGCCAUAUAUAGCAUUUUGCAUUUCACUGUUGUUCUCAUUUAACCAAACCAACUUCUACCAAAGUUUACUGUGUAUCCUGCACGGCUUUUGGCAAACCAUAAAUGUGAUUUUUUGUGACUUGAUGUGUGGAUAUUUGCAGCUUCUCCAGAGUUACCCUGGACCUGUUAGUGUCUUUGAUGAAUGGGUUCCUCGCCCAGCCUGUACAUUUAGGUGAAAGGCAUUGUUUUAAUUAUUACUUUAGUUCCAUGUUAUUUUGCUUAAUGGAGUAUUUGCUGCUCCAUGGCACAUUCAAAGCGUGGGUUAUUUUAUUUUAACCUGGCUUUCAACUUCUCCAUGGUUACCUGUCUGUUCUGCAAUUGUAAGAUUUUUGGAACAAACACAAACAUAAUUUUAGCUGAACUUCAAAUGAGGUAAUUUAAAUGGAUUAUGGCUAAAUAUAAUGCUAAAGGGGGAUGGUAUUCUGUUGAAAUAUGUUUUUUUUUUUUGGAAAUUCAACAAAGAGAAGCAGGUCUAAUAAUUUUUCCUGCUUACUUUACAAUAUUUAUCUCCUUUUGCAAAUAGAAUAGAAGGAAUGCUCUAAAGUACAAAACAGUCCUUCACCUUUCAGUCUAAACUUUCUCCUCAGAAUUUUUUAUCUUCAAAGGAUUUGGAGAUAAAAAAAACAAAAAAAAAAAAAGAAAAAAAAAACUGUAAGUAUAUUGUAUCUGAUAUGGUUGUCCCAUUGGCUCAUGAAUGCAAUAUUUAUUUGAAGAUAUUACAAUCCAUC